ACAGAUUCUCUAAAGGAGAUGAACGAUAAAUUCUGAUGCAUGCUGUGUUUCAGCACCCCGUAGCUGGGGUGCGUUGUCCAAUUGGGUCUCGGCAGAAGCCGUUUCGGCUUCUGGACGUCUCUGGCAUCACUGUAAUUGAUGGUGCGUGGGAUACCGCCCUGUGAGCAGGGUCAAGCGUAGCCCCGCGUCUCUCGCUGCAAGGAGCCCCCUGUAGCCAGGUGGGUCUCCGUGUCCCCCGCUUUCCAUGAGCUUGGGGCCACUAGAAGCAGGGCCGGGUUUUCACCCUCCCUGUAAGCAUGGCCAGGGGCCCGAGCCUCAGCAUUCGGCCAUCUGGCUCCGCUGGCGGGGGAAAGGUUGAGCUCUGCGGUUCCAUGGGUGUUGCGGACCCGCCUUAACCAGGCUUUGGUCCGGAGCCUUUUGCUCCGCUGGCAGCUGUGGGGUGCCUGGCCCGUUAGCGGGAUGCAGGCUUGUGGAUUCCCCACUUUGGGGAGAAGGAGCCUCCCGCGGCCUCUGGGCCCAGGGCAGCCCUGUAACUCAGGGUGCUGAUGCUCUGGUUCCCUGGGCACUUGAAAUUGUCAAUGGCUCCUCGGAGCCCCCCUGUAAGGCAGGGGUCCAGGCUCUUGGGCCGUUGCUGUGUGUGCCCAGCUUUCAUUUGCCCUUGGUGCCAGCCUUGGAGCCCCGCCGCAGCGCCGCAUGAAGGUCCUCUGCGUGUACAACACGCAGCCAGCGCAGAAGAAGGAGGAGGCGUCGUGUGGAACGGCGAGGCAAGAGGGAGCGGCAGAUGGAAGACGGGCAAAGAGGAGGACACCCUGGGCAAAGGCUUCGCCCUGUUAGCGGGGCUGUAGGUAGAGGAGAGCAGUGCUGGCACGUGAGGUGCCUGGAUUGUUUUGUGCUGGGCGACCUCCCUGUAAGCAGGGCUCGGGUCUUUGCGAUUGUAAUCGGCCUUUAGCCUUGUUGCUCCUUUGGCUGCCUGGGGGGAGCGGCCCCCUGUAAUCAGGGGCACAGCUGCUCUCUCCGCACCCGGGAGGACUGUGGAGCUUGCCGGACCCCAGGGCCUCCCUGUAGUCAGGGCAGAGCCAAUUCCCCACCCCCUUAAUUUUAGCCGUCUGGCUCUUUGUCUAAACUAUUUGUCUAAACGUGAUGGGCUAUGGUAACUUAGUAUAUGACUGAUGCCUACGCUAUAAUGCCAACUAUUGCAUAAAAAGCAAUAUAAAAGCGAUAUAUAUAUAAUAUGACCUAUAUGAAUACAGUGAAAACAGAUUCUCUAAAGGAGAUGAACGAUAAAUUCUGAUGCAUGCUGUGUUUCAGCACGCCGUAGCUGGGGUGCGUUGUCCAAUUGGGUCUCGGCAGAAGCCGUUUCGGCUUCUGGACGUCUCUGGCAUCACUGUAAUUUCUGGGCGGGUCUGAGAUUCUCGCCUUAUGCUCGCGGGUGGCGUCUUGCUGCCCUGUGGUUGGCUGCGCUGGUCUCCUUCCCCACAGGGACGUUGUCUGUCCCUUUUCUCUGUUCUUUGCUCCUUCUCCAGGUGCGUGUGAGCGAGCGAUUGAGUUUUUCCUUAGGGCUCUCCUAGAAAUUGCUGCAGCUUAGCCCACACUUCCCUGGGGGGACCGAGGCCUUGCAGCAGCCUGAGCACAGAGAAUUUGAUAGGGACGGCGGAGUCCGGGCUUGGCCCUUUUUUUAUGGCAUUCAAGCGACACAAGAGUAGGAUGGGCGGCGGCACCCUGUAGUCAGGGCCUGGGUCUGCGCCCGUGUGCUUGUGUGUCUGCCGGAGACUAGUGCUCGUGACAACCCCGUCGUCGGGGUCUGUGUCACGAGGUGCGGAGCCCUCUGUCCCCGCGAGCAGGGCCGGCCUGUAAGCAGGUGCCGGAGCCAGUUGCUCUAGUCAGCCAGCAGGAACGAACAGCCCCCUCGCGGCCCUCUAGAGGGUGCGGGCUGGGGUGCUGCUGUUGUGGUCGGGGAUCUGCUUGGAGUCGGUAUUGCGUGGGCUUAGUCUGCCCGUAGGGCUCCUGAAGCGGUGGAGUUGUGGCACAGCCAGGCGGGCCGGUCCGGUCCGUGGGUGGGAGCCUCGUGCUCCACACAGUGUUGUGGCGCUGCUGGUGCAUGGGGUACCGCCCUGUAAGCAGGGUCAAGCGUAGCCCCGUGUCUCUCGCUGCAAGGAGCCCCCAGUAGCCAGGUGGGUCUCCGUGUCCCCCGCUUUACAUGGGCCUGGGGCCUCUAGAAGCAGGGCCGGGUUUUCACCCUCCCUGUAAGCAGGGCUUGGGGCCCGAGCCUCGGUAUUUAGCCAUCUCGCUCCGCUGGCGGGGGAAAGGUUGAGCUCUGCGGUUCCAUGGGUGUUGCGGACCCGCCUUAAGCAGGCUUUGGUCCGGAGCCUUUUGCUCCGCUGGCAGCUGUGGGGUGCCUGACCCGUUAGCGGGAUGCAGGCUUGUGGAUUCCCCACUUUGGGGAGAAGGAGCCUCCCGCGGCCUCUGGGCCCAGGGCAGCCCUGUAACUCAGGGUGCUGAUGCUCUGGUUCCCUGGGCACUUGAAAUUGUCAAUGGCUCCUCGGAGCCCCCCUGUUAGCCAGGGGUCCAGGCUCUUGGGCUGUUGCUGUGUGUGCCCAGCUUUCAUUUGCCCUUGGUGCCAGCCUUGGAGCCCUGCCGCAGCGCCGCAUGAAGGUCCUCUGCGUGUACAACACGCAGCCAGCGCAGAAGAAGGAGGAGGCGUCGUGUGGAACGGCGAGGCAAGAGGGAGCGGCAGAUGGAAGACGGGCAAAGAGGAGGACACCCUGGGCAAAGGCUUCGCCCUGUUAGCGGGGCUGUAGGUAGAGGAGAGCAGUGCUGGCACGUGAGGUGCCUGGAUUGUUUUGUGCUGGGCGACCUCCCUGUAAGCAGGGCUCGGGUCUUUGCAAUUGUAAUCGGCCUUUUGCCUUGUUGC